rnacentral:snRNA from 1 species
AGCUUUGAGCAGUGGCAGUAUCACAGCCAAUGAGGUUUAUCCGAGGCACGAUUAUUGCUGGUA